UGGCACUCACUCUGGCCUAGGCAACAAAGCGAGACUUUGUCUCAAAAAAAAAAAGAAGUUCCAGACUGACAGCUGACCUUCAAAAACAACCAGUCAGCACUAGAGCAGGAAAAAAGACUCCAGGAGGAACAGCUCCAAGAAGAAAAUAAAACUGAUAGAUUACCUGAUGGGUAGAAGUAUACUAAGAGAUUUGUACUUCUGCUGGAAAGUUUGAAAAUAAGUUUUUGAUGGUUACAAAGAAAACUUACAAAAUGGAUCCUGGCAGGUGAGUGACGCCGGCUCAUCGCGGUUGGCCUCCCGUCGUGGCUCGCCCUUUGCUCUGGACACUCGGACCUCAGCACCCCAGCUCCCGGGGCCCGCUGCUCCGGCCCACACGCCUCAACUGGCCACAGACCCAUGGCCGAGCGCGGAGAACUCGACCUGACCGGCGCCAAACAGAACACGGGAGUGUGGCUGGUCAAGGUUCCUAAAUAUUUGUCACAGCAAUGGGCUAAAGCCCCUGGAAGGGGUGAAGUUGGGAAGCUGCGGAUUGCCAAGAAUCAAGGAAGAACUGAGGUGUCAUUUACUUUGAAUGAAGAUCUCGCAAAUAUUCAUGAUAUUGGUGGAAAACCAGCUUCAGUCAGCACACCUAGAGAACAUCCACUUGUCUUGCAAAGUGUUGGAGGACAGACAUUAACAGCAUUUACUGAGAGCUCAUCAGAUAAGCUGUCAUUGGAAGGAAUAGUGGUACAAAGAGCUGAAUGCCGACCAGCUGCCAGUGAAAACUACAUGAGAUUAAAAAGAUUGCAAAUAGAAGAAUCUUCCAAACCUGUAAGGCUAUCACAACAACUGGACAAAGUUGUAACAACCAAUUACAAGCCUGUUGCCAAUCAUCAAUACAAUAUUGAAUAUGAAAGGAAAAAGAAAGAAGAUGGAAAAUGAGCCCGAGCAGAUAAACAACACGUUUUAGACAUGCUAUUUUCAGCCUUUGAGAAACAUCAGUAUUAUAACCUUAAGGACUUGGUAGACAUAACAAAACAACCUGUGGGGUACCUGAAGGAAAUCUUAAAAGAAAUUGGUGUUCAGAAUGUAAAAGGGAUCCACAAAAACACAUGGGAGCUGAAGCCAGAGUACAGACACUAUCAAGGAGAAGAAAAGAAUGACUGAGAAGACCCCUAGCCAGCAUGCUAGCAGAACAGUGAAUGCUGAGCAAAGGGCUUGCUGCUGGAAUGCCUGAACAGUGUAUGU